rnacentral:rRNA from 1 species
AGAGUUUGAUCCUGGCUCAGAUUGAACGCUAGCGGGAUGCUUUACACAUGCAAGUCGAACGGCAGCACGAGAGAGCUUGCUCUCUUGGUGGCGAGUGGCGGACGGGUGAGUAAUAUAUCGGAACGUGCCCAGUAGCGGGGAUAACUACUCGAAAGAGUGGCUAAUACCGCAUACGCCCUACGGGGGAAAGGGGGGGAUCGCAAGACCUCUCACUAUUGGAGCGGCCGAUAUCGGAUUAGCUAGUUGGUGGGGUAAAGGCUCACCAAGGCAACGAUCCGUAGCUGGUUUGAGAGGACGACCAGUCACACUGGGACUGAGACACGGCCCAGACCCCUACGGGAGGCAGCAGUGGGGAAUUUUGGACAAUGGGGGAAACCCUGAUCCAGCCAUCCCGCGUGUAUGAUGAAGGCCUUCGGGUUGUAAAGUACUUUUGGCAGAGAAGAAAAGGCAUUCCCUAAUACGGGAUGCUGAUGACGGUAUCUGCAGAAUAAGCACCGGCUAACUACGUGCCAGCAGCCGCGGUAAUACGUAGGGUGCAAGCGUUAAUCGGAAUUACUGGGCGUAAAGCGUGUGUAGGCGGUUCGGAAAGAAAGAUGUGAAAUCCCAGGGCUCAACCUUGGAACUGCAUUUUUAACUGCCGAGCUAGAGUAUGUCAGAGGGGGGUAGAAUUCCACGUGUAGCAGUGAAAUGCGUAGAUAUGUGGAGGAAUACCGAUGGCGAAGGCAGCCCCCUGGGAUAAUACUGACGCUCAGACACGAAAGCGUGGGGAGCAAACAGGAUUAGAUACCCUGGUAGUCCACGCCCUAAA